rnacentral:lncRNA from 1 species
CUCACAGGUAUCCGGAGAAGCACGCGUGCGGGUUCGACUUUAAGACGGUGGGGCGAGAGGAGAUUGCUCGGGCUAACCCCGUGAUCAAAGCAGAGAAGCUGCGGAGGAUAUGAUUCGAUCUCAUCCGUCCGAUGGGACCGGAGUUUGAUGAUUUGAUAACAAGCGUCCACGUGUACUGCGAGGGAGGGAGAGAGAGAUGUCGUUAUGUAUGAUGUUAUGAAUAUGAUGAUGAUGAUGAUGAUGAUCUGUCUUCAAUGUUAAGAUAAAACUUAAAUAGUCGGUUUGUCUCGUAUAGAAGGGAUUGAAAUGAAUAAGUCAUAUUUUUAUUUGGCUUUGUAAAAUGGGAGAAAAAAGAA